CGUGAUUUUCUGCGUACCUCGUACUGCAAGUCGAGGGCUAGAUGGGAGCUUGCUCCCUGAGUUGGCGGCGGACGGGUGAGUAACACGUGGGUAACCUGCCUGUCAGACUGGGAUAACUCCGGGAAACCGGGGCUAAUACCGGAUGGUUGUCUGAACCGCAUGGUUCAGACAUAAAAGGUGGCUUCGGCUACCACUUACAGAUGGACCCGCGGCGCAUUAGCUAGUUGGUGAGGUAACGGCUCACCAAGGCGACUAUGCGUACCCGACCUGAGAGGGUGAUCGGCCACACUGGGACUGAGACACGGCCCAUACUCCUACGGGAGGCAGCAAUUGGGAAUCUUCCGCAAUGGACCAAAGUCUGACGGACCAACGCCGCGUGAGUGAUGAAGGUUUUCGGAUCGUAAAGCUCUGUUGUUAGGGAAGAACAAGUGCCGUUCAAAUAGGGCGGCACCUUGACGGUACCUAACCAGAAAGCCACGGCUAACUACGUGCCAGCAGCCGCGGUAAUGCGUAGGUGGCAAGCGUUGUCCGGAAUUAUUGGGCGUAAAGGGCUCGCAGGCGGUUUCUUAAGUCUGAUGUGAAAGCCCCCGGCUCAACCGGGGAGGGUCAUUGGAAACUGGGGAACUUGAGUGCAGAAGAGGAGAGUGGAAUUCCACGUGUAGCGGUGAAAUGCGUAGAGAUGUGGCAGGAACACGAGUGCCGAACGCUACUCUCUGAUCUGUAACUGACGCUGAGGAGCGAAAGCGUAGAGAAGCGAACAGGAUUAGAUACCGCUGGUAGUCCAACGCCGUAAACGAUG
rnacentral:rRNA from 1 species